rnacentral:rRNA from 1 species
GAUGAACGCUGGCGGCGUGCCUAACACAUGCAAGUCGAGCGAACAGACGAGGCGCUUGCCCUGCUUACGCUGCCGGCGGACGGGUGAGUAAUACGUGGCUACCCUAUCUUGGAGCCUGGGAUAACUUCGGGGACCCGGAGCCAAUAUCGGUUAUUAUAUUGAACCGCAUGGUUCAAUGGAGCACGCCCGUUCUGCUGUCACUUAUAGAGGGUACCGCGCUGCAUUAGCUAGUUGGUAGGGUAACGACUGACCAAGGCAACGAUGCGUAGCUGAUCUGAGAGGCUGAUCAGCCACACUGGAACUGAGACACGGUCCAGACUCCUACGGGAGGCAGCAGUAGGGAAUCUUCCGCAAUGGGCGAAAGCCUGACCCAGCCACGCCGCGUGAGUGAUGAAGGUCUUCGGAUCGUAAAGCUCUUUUAUUAGGGAGGAACGAAUGUGUAAGAAUCUAUGCACGUCUUGACGUUACCUACAGAGAAAGCCCCGGCUAACUUCGUG